AUCGGCGCACACAAUGAAGUUGGCGGGGCAUAUAGGGCAGCGGCCAGUUACGGUUCUCAUCGACAGUGGGGCAACCCACAAUUUCAUCUCCAUGGAUGUUGUUUCAGCAGCGGGCCUUCCUAUUACAGCCACCACUUGUUAUGGAGUAUUGUUGGGCACGGGUGGAAAAGUAAGAACGGAGGGUAUAUGUGCGCAAGUGGAGUUGGAUCUAGGGGCGUUGCGGGUAAUCACAGAUUUUCUGCCACUCGAGUUAGGGGGAGCUGAUGUGAUAUUGGGUAUUAAGUGGUUGGAGACGUUGGGCAACAUGCAAGUUAAUUGGAGAACCAUGAUUAUGAAGUUUGAAAUGGCGGGAACGUGGAUAACUUUGCAAGGUGAUUCAAGCCUAUGUAAGUCACCGAUUUCGUUGAAGGCGAUGAUACUUUCAGUUGAAAAAGAAGCACAAGGAUUUUGGGUCCAUUUUGGGGCGUUAUCUAAGGAAGAGGACGUGAAUAAUGGUAUUCAACCCGCCCAAAUUACCGCUGUUUUACAGCGUUUUGCCGCUGUCUUUGGGUCACCACAGGGGCUGCCUCCAAGCCGAGGAAGGGAACAUGCCAUAGUACUUAAAGCGGGAACGGAGCCGGUGUCGGUGAGGCCAUAUCGGUACGCUCAAGCCCAAAAGGAUGAGAUAGAAAGGUUGGUUAUGGAGAUGUUACAAGCAGGGAUUAUUAGGCCAAGUACUAGCCCUUUUUCGAGCCCGGUUCUUCUAGUUAAAAAGAAGGAUGGUAGCUGGAGGUUUUGCGUUGAUUAUCGGGCUUUGAAUAGAGAAACGGUGGCGGAUAAGUUCCCAAUACCCGUCAUUGAUGAGUUGUUGGAUGAACUCCAUGGAGCACAAGUGUUUUCGAAGUUAGAUUUGAAGUCGGGAUACCAUCAAAUCCGGGUGGCAGCAAGGGAUAUCGAGAAAACGGCCUUUCGUACACAUGAGGGACAUUACGAAUUUCUUGUCAUGCUGUUUGGGUUGACAAACGCUCCAGCCACCUUCCAUGCGUUGAUGCAUCAGGUUUUUCGUGACUUUUUACGCAAGUUUGUGCUGGUUUUUUUUGACGAUAUUUUGGUUUACAGCUCUUCCAUGGAGGACCAUGCUCACCACCUUUCUUUAGUUUUGGAGAGACUGCAGCAACAUACACUUUAUGCCAACCAAAAGAAGUGUUUAUUUGCUCAAAAACAGGUGGAAUAUUUGGGUCAUGUAAUUUCAGGAAACGGCGUGGCAGCGGACCCAAAUAAGUUGGCAGCUAUGGAGGAUUGGCCCAUUCCAAAAAAUAUUAGGGAGCUGCGGGGAUUCUUGGGUUUAACAGGUUAUUAUCGGAAGUUUGUGCAAGGUUAUAGACGGAUAGCAAAGCCAUUGACGGACCAGCUGAAAAAAGACGCUUUUGGGUGGACAAUAGAGGCACAAGAGGCGUUUUCCCAGCUGAAGAAAGCCAUGUGUUCGACCCCGGUUUUGGCGCUGCCAAAUUUUUCUGCACCAUUUGUGGUGGAAGCCGAUGCUUCGGGUAGUGGAUUGGGGGCGGUAUUGAUGCAAAAUGGGAGGCCAAUCGCUUUUUACAGCCAUGUAUUAUCCGCUAGGGACCGUCUUAAAUCAGUCUAUGAGAGGGAGUUGAUGGCUAUCGUGUUGGCUAUACUUAAAUGGCGUCCUUAUUUACUUGGGAGGAGGUUUGUGGUGCGAACGGAUCAAAAGAGUUUGAAGUUUCUGUUAGAGCAGCGGCUUGUGGCUUUGGAGCACCAAAAAUGGCUCACCAAGCUCCUUGGGUAUGAUUUUGAGAUCCAAUACUGUCCGGGUUUGGAAAACAAGGCGGCGGAUGCCUUAUCUAGAUUACAAGGGGACGUUACUCUUGCUGCCAUCUCAGUCCCACAUCUUAUUUCCAUACCGGAUUUACAAGCACACGUGGCCACAGAUCCUUUUUUAGCUAAGGUGAUUGAGGAGCUGUCAAUGGGCAAGUCGUGUGGUGGGUUUUCAUGGGUACAAGGUUGUCUCAAGUUUAGGAGCAGGUUGGUCUUACCAUCUUCGUCCCCUUUUAUUCCACUGUUAUUAAAUGAGUAUCAUGGCAGCAAGAUAGGUGGGCAUUCGGGGGUCUUUAAAACAUUCCAAAGGUUGGCGGCGGAUCUAUAUUGGAAGGGAAUGAGAAAGGAUGUGCAGAAAUACGUAUUGGAGUGUGCGGUAUGCCAACAAAACAAAUAUUUAGCUCAAUCGCCAGUGGGUUUAUUGCAACCAUUACCCAUUCCGGAACAAGUUUGGGAGGACAUUUCAAUGAAUUUCAUAGAGGGGUUGCCAUUGUCGAAUGGGUUUGACUCUAUUCUUGUGGUGGUGGAUAGGUUGAGCAAGUAUGGUCAUUUUAUUCACUUGAGACACCCAUAUUCAGCAGCAUCGGUGGCGGCUGUUUUUGUCAAGGAAGUGAUCAAACUUCAUGGGAUCACAAGAUCCAUUGUGUCGGAUAGAGAUAAAAUUUUCCUCAGCUUGUUUUGGAAAGAGUUGUUUCGGCUCCAAGGGACUGCAUUGAAGCAAAGUACAGCUUAUCAUCCACAAUCCGAUGGGCAAACGGAGGUGGUUAACCGCUGUGUAGAGACGUACCUUCGUUGUUUUGUAAGCUCCAAACCCAACCAGUGGGCAAAAUGGCUGCCAUGGGCUGAAUUCUGGUACAAUACUUCCUAUCAUACAGCCGCUGGAAUGACUCCUUUUCGGGUCUUGUAUCACAGGGAUCCUCCUCCUUUAAUUAGAUUUGAGCAUGGCAGCACUAGAGUACCAGCAGUGGAACAAAAUUUAAUGGAACGGGAUGAUAUUUUGGAGCCGUUAAAACUGAAUUUACAACGUGCCCAGCAGAAAAUGAAGGCCCAAGCGGAUAAAAAGAGGAGGGAUGUCACUUUUGAAGUUGGGGACAUGGUGUAUGUGAAGCUAAGACCGUAUAGACAACGUUCGGUGGCUAAACGGUUGAAUGAGAAACUUUCUCCCAGGUAUUUUGGUCCGUUUGCAAUCAUGGCACGAAUUGGAGCUGCUGCCUAUCGUUUAAAAUUGCCCCAAGAUGCCGCAAUACACCCAGUUUUUCACGUUUCAGUACUUAGGAGGGCAUUGGGACCCAAUCAGCAGGCUAGCUCAAUUCCUCCUGGAUUAACGGCUGAUUUGGAGUGGCUGCUGGAGCCGGAGGAGCUCUUGGAGGUUCGGCCACACACAUACGGAGUCCCCGCAAGCGCUCAUCAAGUGGAGUAAUUUGCCAGAUUUUGAAGCCACUUGGGAAGAUUUUUCGGUGAUUCAAGACCAGUUUCCUCACUUUCACCUUGAGGACAAGGUGAAACUUCUAGCGGGGGGUAUUGAUAGGCCACCAAUAACUUUUGUUUAUGCUAGGAAACAUGGGAACAAAGCUGGGAUGAGGGGCAGCGAAUAGUUAGUUAUAUGAGGGAAAUUAUGGUGAGGGGAGGUGUAGGAUUCCAAGCUGGGAACUAGAAUAUAAGGAGAGAACAUGACGUGUAUAAGGUGUGGAUUGUGUAACCAGAAACUUGGGAGAGGCUAGGCUCUCGAAUUCCUAGUGUCCUAUUGAGACUUAAUGCAAUUUCAUUACAUUUCGACCAUUCUGUGCAAUUCUGCUGUAUUCUGGGUUGUUUCUUUUUGCUGGAAUUGUUUGAUUGCAGGAAUUAUCUACCAAUUUCCAAGCUUUGAAUGUAGGAUCAUCUUGUUUAGGAGCAGAGAUUUCACCCGUGAGAUACUCCUCCUUGCCUUUUCCACCAAUAUACAUCACCACAGAUUGGGACCAUUGAAGAUAAUUGUGCCCAUUAAAUUUGUGACUGGUAACCAGGGAGAUAGCUUCAUUGCCGUGAAAGGGAGUUGGAGUAGAGAGGGGCUGAUAUGGUGAGGAGGUCUUGGAGGUUACCUUUGAGAUGGAGUUGUCUUUUUCGGCAGCCAUGGUAGUCAGAAAAGAAGGAUAGAGGUGGACACAUGGAGAAGAGGAGAAAAUUUUUUUUUGGACAGCUAGGCAGCGGAACCUUGCUCUGAUACCAUGGACUAUCUAUUCUUCCAGAAACGGAGGAUAUUAUCUCUACUGAAGGUUAUACUGCUGUUGAUUCUCUGGUCAGUGAAUCCAAUGUCGUUUCUACUGAUGACUAUACUACUGUUGAUGCUCUGGUCAGUAAA